UACAGGGGGUGCGAGCGUUAAUCGGAAUUACUGGGCGUAAAGAGUACGUAGGCGGUUGCUUAAGUCAGAUGUGAAAGCCCCGGGCUCAACCUGGGAACUGCAUUUGAAACUGAGUGACUAGAGUUUAAGAGAGGGGAGUAGAAUUCCGGGUGUAGCGGUGAAAUGCGUAGAGAUCCGGAGGAAUACCAGUGGCGAAGGCGGCUCCCUGGCUUAAAACUGACGCUGAGGUACGAAAGCGUGGGUAGCAAACAGGAUUAGAAACCCCGGUAGUCC
rnacentral:rRNA from 1 species